rnacentral:rRNA from 1 species
UACGGAGGGGCCAAGCGUUGUCCGGAAUUACUGGGCGUAAAGCGCACGUAGGCGGCUAUUCAAGUCAGAGGUGAAAGCCCAGGGCUCAACCUUGGAACUGCCUUUGAAACUAGAUAGCUAGAAUCCUGGAGAGGCGAGUGGAAUUCCGAGUGUAGAGGUGAAAUUCGUAGAUAUUCGGAAGAACACCAGUGGCGAAGGCGACUCGCUGGACAGGUAUUGACGCUGAGGUGCGAGAGCGUGGGGAGCAAACAGG